rnacentral:misc_RNA from 1 species
GCGUCAUUUAGCCUUUCAAGCUUUGCUUGGUAUUGGGUGGUUGUCUUGGUACAAGACUCGCCUUAAAAUUAUCAGCUACUGGCACAUGGUGGAGCACAACAGUACAUUCAUGUUAGUGCUUCGUCUGGGUGUCGACGGCUGUCAAACGUGAUUUAUAUCAUCUUGACCUCGGAUCAGGUAGGAAUACCCGCUGAACUUAA